CUUCCUCGAUCUGCUGCGGGCAGAUGAAAUGAAUAUGCGAAUCGAUGCCGCCGGCGGUGACGAUCAUGCCUUCGCAGCUGAUGAUUUCGGUGCCGGGGCCGAUGAUGAUGUCGAUGCCUGGCUGCACGUCAGGGUUGCCGGCCUUGCCGAUGGCGGCGAUGCGCCCACCCUUCAGCCCGAUAUCGGCCUUGACGAUGCCCCAGUGGUCGAGGAUGAGCGCAUUCGUCAUCACCGUGUCCAUCGCGCCUUCGGCGCGGGUUUUCUGCGACUGCGCCAUGCCGUCACGGAUG
rnacentral:sRNA from 1 species